UACCCAUUACACCAGCCGUCACUCUCUUUCUCCCUCACCCUUACCCUCACCUUUGCCUCUCUCUCUCUCUCUCUCCCAGCCUCCCUCACCUAGCCUUUCUGCCGCCGCCACCACUUCCCACCCUAGCCACUGCCGUGCCCGCACCUCCUCUCCCCUUAUUCUCGACUCUCUCUCUCUCCCUCAUCCUCGCCUCUCACUCUCUCCCUCACCCUUGCCACUCUACCGCCAGCCACCACUGCCGUCGACCUACUCCUCUUCCCCUUUCCUCCUCUCAUGUCCACCUCCGCCACUAGUCUCCUCCACCGCCAAUUUUCUAGUACCUCCUCUACCCUUUGUAGUUUUUAUUUUGUAUUUUUUGUUUUUGGGUUUUUAGUUCAAUAUAUAGAGUGUGGGUUUUCUGGAACCUCCUCUACCCAUCGGUUUGGGUUUGUGCUUGUGUUUGAAAGGUGGGUUUUAUGUUGACCCAGAGGCGAAGCUCCUGUUCGGGAUACCAUGUGAUUGUCAGAAAAAUGGUUGCGUAAAGGCCUUACAGUCAUCAUCUGGAGCGGGGUAUGUUGAGUUAAACACAAAUUCUUCAUAGCAGGGAUGGGUUCUGGACAUUGGUUUAAGACGAUAAUCGGCUCAAAGAAAGGGAAGCGUGGCAGUUCAAAACAAGUAAAGGUCUACUUGCUUCUUUUGUAACUUGGAUCAGCCAAAUGCCACAGUUCGUUCUAGAGUCAGAAAUCCCAAAGUUGCCUAAGCUACUACUGGAGCUAUUGCAGUUGCUGUUGGAGUGACUACAGCUUCUGUUGGAGCUGUUGCUGUUUUUACUGGACCUGUUGCAGCUUCUGCUAGAGUUAAGGCAGUUUCUGCUGGAACCAUUAUUGGUAUUUUUGGCUAAGUUUCCUUUUCUGGAAAAUUAUAUGUUUAGUCCAUAUAUAAUUUUGAUAAGUAAUAGACUAGUUGAUUGAUAUUUGAUGAAAUUUUAGAGAUGUAAUUAUGGUCUCUUUGUGUUUUAACCAAAUCUUUGAGAGUAAAGAGAGCACUUAAUGCGAGAAGUGAGAU